CUUCAGUGACCCGAGCCACAGCGGAUGCUGUGCCGGCCUGCGUCCGUAGGUUGCCAGCAGCGCCUGGGCCUC
rnacentral:antisense_RNA from 1 species